GUAAAAUCGGUUCUCGUUAGAUCACCGAAGUCAAGCAUCAUUGGGCGCGGUCAGUACUUGGGUGGGUGACCACCUGGGAACACCGCGUGCCGUU
rnacentral:rRNA from 1 species